AUCAGCUCCAGUGGCGGACUUCACCUGCAGAGGACCAGAAAGCAGCUUGGCCCUCCACUGCAGAGGGAGAUUAAGUUUUACAAUUAUCCUGCAAAGGAAAUAUUACUAUUCCAGUUCUUCAUAUGAAAAUGAAGAAAAGCUUUAGUGUUACUCUGGAUCACGUGACUGGGCAGUUUGAAAGCCUCUAAGAGAAGAUUAUGAAGUUUGGAACCAGAUGCCAGGAGACACGAGGAAGGCUGUAGAUGCUUUGAACUUGUCUACUGGAGGAAUAUGCUAUGUUGUGUACUUCAUCUCUAUGAAUAUUUAGCAAGGAUUUCUACUGAACGUUUGCAGUAAUAAAAAGUAUGCCAUCAGUUUUAAUAAAGAGACACCCACUUCAAUUACUAUUUGUUACAACACUUCCAGUAUCACUUGUGACAAAUUUCAAUUAUAGUUGAAAUCCAAAGCAUAAUCCAGUUCAGAGAGACACAUGGAAGUGACCCUUGAGCUUUAUUUUGUUAAGUUAAAGUUAAAACAUUGCUUUUAUUUCAUCAUGUCGACAAACAUCCCUGGGAGUCAGAACCACCAUUUUUGCAAGAGGGAUCCUUGCUUCCAGAGCUCCCAAGAUGGAGGCAGUCUGCUUCUAAGAUGGUGGCAAGCCUCGUGUUCUCUGACCUGGGGUUCUUGGCCUCAGGGA
rnacentral:lncRNA from 10 species